rnacentral:rRNA from 1 species
UACGGGGGGAGCAAGCGUUGUUCGGAAUUACUGGGCGUAAAGGGCUCGUAGGUGGCCAACUAAGUCAGACGUGAAAUCCCUCAGCUUAACUGGGGAACUGCGUCUGAUACUGGAUGGCUUGAGUUUGGGAGAGGGAUGCGGAAUUCCAGGUGUAGCGGUGAAAUGCGUAGAUAUCUGGAGGAACACCGGUGGCGAAGGCGGCAUCCUGGACCAACACUGACACUCAUGCACGAAAGCGUGGGGAGCAAACAGG